rnacentral:tRNA from 1 species
UACUAUACUUUAAAAAGAAGGUUUGGUUUGCAACUAAUUAGUGAGCUUAAGCUCUAGUACCA